rnacentral:lncRNA from 1 species
GGAGCUCUGAGGCUGAGGCCGGAAUGCUGCAGACUGGAACGGCCGUGGUUGUGACAUACCUGGGCAUCAUCUGCCAGAGUUCUGUCCUCUGAGGUGCUGCCGUUUUGGAAGAAAGGUGUUUGGUGGUGGUCGUGAUGGUUUCCUGCAAUCUGGACAUUUAAAAGGAAGCCUUGCUUUACAUCUGUGCCUGAGCUGGGGUGCUGAGGACCGAGUGUGCUCUUCUCAGGCAGUCUGCGGACUGACCAUGACCAUCGUGGCUCUUGGAAUGGCAGAAACACACCUGGGCUCGGCAGUGCCCAACCUGGGCUGGACCUAAGGAGAGAGAGAGCCCUUGUUGACAGAAUUACGAUUCCAAGAGAUUUUGAGAAAAGGCGAUUUAUGACCUAAAAAAGUGUCUUGAGACCUGGUGACCGCAGAGCAGUAGAGUGAGCAGAGCACUGGACUUCUUGGGUUCUCCUCCUAAUGGAACUCUUCUUUACACUGAUUGCAAGCCACAUCCACUUAAGGCAGAAGGGGGUGACCAUCUGGCCGCUUACGUCACAAGUCAAGCAUGGCUUAUUAUGGACAAGGUGUGGACGGGUGUGGUAAUGGUCACCCAACCAUGUGAAUGGACUUAUACUCCUGGACUAUAUCCUAACAGUGGUUAAGAAGGUCAAUUCCAGCGAGUGAGUUCCGCCUCCACACCACCAUCGGCAGCAGAUCACCUCAUACACACACAGCGGCAGAAUCCUCAGGGUUGAGGAGAAGCAGUUUGUGGAUCGGCUGCAUUCAGAAGGCAGAAGAGUGGCCCAAGGAUGUGCCCAUCCUGAUCCCUGAGCCCUGAACACGCAGGUGGGCCCAAAGGUGCUAACCAGACUUUGCUUUGAGAAGAGAGUCCCUGGCCGCUGUGCUUGCGAGGGGCCGCCUAGAAUCUGCUCCCUGGGACUCAGCCUGCCGUGCACAGCUAUCUGUCCUAUCCAUCACCCUAUUUCCUCCCUUUUGGAAUGGGAAUGCUUACCCUUUGCCUUUCUUUUGAAUUAUACAGGGGCUCGCAGCUAAGAGUUUGCCUUAAAUCUCAAACGAGACUUUCGGACUUGGGUUUUUCAGCAGUGCUGAAACUGGACCGUUCAAUCCUCCGACCUGCUUCGUGGAUGAAGAGCAGAGCCUGGGAGGAGGGGACCUCUGUGUCACAGGACAGGCUGGGCUGUGCGGCUGUCACAGGCAGCUCUGCAGUCUCAGGACCCAACAAUGGCUGACCUUCCUCUGUCACCCCGCGCAUGUCCGUCCCAGGCAGGCGGAAUGUCUGCUCCGUGCAGGUCCCCAGGGAAAAG